UACGUAGGGUGCAAGCGUUGUCCGGAAUUAUUGGGCGUAAAGAGCUCGUAGGCGGUUUGUUGCGUCGGCUGUGAAAACCUGAGGCUCAACCUCAGGCCUGCAGUCGAUACGAGCAGACUAGAGUGUUGCAGGGGAGACUGGAAUUCCUGGUGUAGCGGUGAAAUGCGCAGAUAUCAGGAGGAACACCGAUGGCGAAGGCAGGUCUCUGGGCCAUAACUGACGCUGAGGAGCGAAAGCAUGGGGAGCGAACAGG
rnacentral:rRNA from 1 species